CCUACGGGAUGCUGCAGUCGAGAAUCAUUCACAAUGGGGGAAACCCUGAUGGUGCGACGCCGCGUGGGGGAAUGAAGGUCUUCGGAUUGUAAACCCCUGUCAUGUGGGAGCAAAUUAAAAAGAUAGUACCACAAGAGGAAGAGACGGCUAACUCUGUGCCAGCAGCCGCGGUAAUACAGAGGUCUCAAGCGUUGUUCGGAAUCACUGGGCGUAAAGCGUGCGUAGGCUGUUUCGUAAGUCGUGUGUGAAAGGCGCGGGCUCAACCCGCGGACGGCACAUGAUACUGCGAGACUAGAGUAAGGGAGGGGGAACCGGAAUUCUCGGUGUAGCAGUGAAAUGCGUAGAUAUCGAGAGGAACACUCGUGGCGAAGGCGGGUUCCUGGACAUUAACUGACGCUGAGGCACGAAGGCCAGGGGAGCGAAAGGGAUUAGAUACCCCAGUAGUC
rnacentral:rRNA from 1 species